UGGGGAAUAUUGCACAAUGGGGGAAACCCUGAUGCAGCGACGCCGCGUGAGUGAAGAAGUAUUUCGGUAUGUAAAGCUCUAUCAGCAGGGAAGAAGAAAUGACGGUACCUGACUAAGAAGCCCCGGCUAACUACGUGCCAGCAGCCGCGGUAAUACGUAGGGGGCAAGCGUUAUCCGGAUUUACUGGGUGUAAAGGGAGCGUAGGUGGUUUGGUAAGUCAGAUGUGAAAGCCCGCGGCUUAACUGCGGGACUGCAUUUGAAACUAUCAAACUAGAGUGCAGGAGAGGUAAGUGGAAUUCCUAGUGUAGCGGUGAAAUGCGUAGAUAUUAGGAGGAACACCAGUGGCGAAGGCGGCUUACUGGACUGUAACUGACACUGAAGCUCGAAAGCGUGGGGAGCAAACAGG
rnacentral:rRNA from 1 species